UACGGAGGGUGCAAGCGUUAUCCGGAAUCACUGGGUUUAAAGGGUCCGUAGGCGGUCUUAUAAGUCAGUGGUGAAAUCUCCCCGCUCAACGGGGAAACGGCCAUUGAUACUGUAGGACUUGAAUUAUAAGGAAGUAACUAGAAUAUGUAGUGUAGCGGUGAAAUGCUUAGAGAUUACAUGGAAUACCAAUUGCGAAGGCAGGUUACUACUUAUGGAUUGACGCUGAUGGACGAAAGCGUGGGUAGCGAACAGG
rnacentral:rRNA from 1 species